AAGCUUGCUUUCUCCGCCGGCGACCGGCGCACGGGUGAGUAACACGUAUGCAACCUGCCCCUGUCAGGGGGACAACCCGCCGAAAGGCGGGCUAAACCCGCGUACAUGCCACCGGGGCAUCCCGGAGGCAGGAAAGGCUUCGGCCGGACAGGGAUGGGCAUGCGGCGCAUUAGGCAGUAGGCGGGGUAACGGCCCACCUAACCGACGAUGCGUAGGGGUUCUGAGAGGAAGGUCCCCCACACUGGUACUGAGACACGGACCAGACUCCUACGGGAGGCAGCAGUGAGGAAUAUUGGUCAAUGGUCGGGAGACUGAACCAGCCAAGCCGCGUGAGGGAGGAAGGUACAGAGUAUCGUAAACCUCUUUUGUCAGGGAACAAAGGCGGGGACGUGUCCCCGGAUGAGUGUACCUGAAGAAAAAGCAUCGGCUAACUCCGUGCCAGCAGCCGCGGUAAUACGGAGGAUGCGAGCGUUAUCCGGAUUUAUUGGGUUUAAAGGGUGCGCAGGCGGUCUGUUAAGUCAGCGGUCAAAGCCCGGGGCUCAACCCCGGCCCGCCGUUGAAACUGGCAGUCUCGAGUUGGAGAGAAGUAUGCGGAAUGCGCGGUGUAGCGGUGAAAUGCAUAGAUAUCGCGCAGAACUCCGAUUGCGAAGGCAGCAUGCCGGCUCCACACUGACGCUGAGGCACGAAAGCGUGGGUAUCGAACAGGAUUAGAUACCCUGGUAGUCCACGCAGUAAACGAUGAAUGCUGGCUGUCCGGGGGGAUUGACCCCUGGGUGGCGAAGCGAAAGCGAUAAGCAUUCCACCUGGGGAGUACGCCGGCAACGGUGAAACUCAAAGGAAUUGACGGGGGCCCGCACAAGCGGAGGAACAUGUGGUUUAAUUCGAUGAUACGCGAGGAACCUUACCCGGGCUCAAACGGGGAGUGACUCAGGCAGAGACGCCUGUUUCCCACGGGACACUCCCCGAGGUGCUGCAUGGUUGUCGUCAGCUCGUGCCGUGAGGUGUCGGCUUAAGUGCCAUAACGAGCGCAACCCCCGCGUGCAGUUGCUAACAGAUAACGCUGAGGACUCUGCACGGACUGCCGGCGCAAGCCGCGAGGAAGGCGGGGAUGACGUCAAAUCAGCACGGCCCUUACGUCCGGGGCGACACACGUGUUACAAUGGGUGGUACAGCGGGAAGCCAGGCGGCGACGCCGAGCGGAACCCGAAAUCCACUCUCAGUUCGGAUCGGAGUCUGCAACCCGACUCCGUGAAGCUGGAUUCGCUAGUAAUCGCGCAUCAGCCAUGGCGCGGUGAAUACGUUCCCGGGCCUUGCACACACCGCCCGUCAAG
rnacentral:rRNA from 1 species